UUCCGGUUGAUCCUGCCGGACCCGACUGCUAUCAGAGUGGGACUAAGCCAUGCGAGUUAACGUAGCAAUACGUGGCAUACGGCUCAGUAACACGUGGUCAACAUACCCAGAGGACGUGGAUAACCUCGGGAAACUGAGGAUAAACCGCGAUAGACCAUAAUGUCUGGAAUGAUUUAUGGUUCAAAUCUACAUGGCCUCUGGAUUGGACUGCGGCCGAUCAGGCUGUUGGUGAGGUAAUGGCCCACCAAACCUGAAACCGGUACGGGCUCUGAGAGGAGAAGCCCGGAGAUGGGCACUGAGACAAGGGCCCAGGCCCUAUGGGGCGCAGCAGGCGCGAAAUCUUUGCAAUAGGCGAAAGCCUGACAAGGUUACUCUGAGUGAUCUCCGCUAAGGAAAUCUUUUGACACCUCUAAAAAUGGUGUAGAAUAAGGGGUGGGCAAGCCUGGUGUCAGCCGCCGCGGUAAUACCAGCACCCCGAGUGGUCGGGACGAUUAUUGGGCCUAAAGCAUCCGUAGCCGGUUCCUUAAGUCCUCCGUUAAAUCCACCUGCUUAACAGAUGGGCUGCGGAGGAUACUAUAGAGCUAGGAGGCGGGAGAGGCAAGCGGUACUCAGUGGGUAGGGGUAAAAUCCGUUGAUCCAUUGAAGACCACCAGUGGCGAAGGCGGCUUGCCAGAACGCGCUCGACGGU
rnacentral:rRNA from 1 species